AUUAGUAAAAAAAAACACAAAAACAUUAUUUGUGUUAAGAAAUUAUGAUUUUCAAUUUUUCAUCAAUUUGUGUGGAAUUGCUUCCAAGUAAGUUAUUUAACAUACUAGUAUUAGACUACAUACACUCAUUACCUAUUACAACAUGAACGUUUUAAAUGUUUCGUUUUUUUUUUAGCUGUUGUUAUAGGUAAUAUAGAUUGGAUUGUCCAUCAGUCUUUCCGAAUGUUUACAAUAGAUGACCCAUGUAAUAUAUUUAGUAUUACAUAAACAUUUAAAAUUUUUCAUUUAUUAAUUAAUUUUAAAAUUAUUGUAGAUUGAUAAUAAGAGUGUGUGGCGGCUGAUCUGGCGUCCACCCACUUGAUGGUAGGUGAUUUCAUAUGGUUUGAUUGGAGGUUCAUUCAUAGAGCACAUUUGAAUCUGAAUGGUGCUGGAGAGACCGUGACUGCCACUGAAUGUGCCGGUGAUGUGGGUAUACAGCAUAAAGCCUUCCUACCUCAUCGAUCUCUGUUUGUAGUAAACUGCGCACUACAUGGUUUUACAUCUACUUAUCCAGAGAUGUGUACACUGAGUACAUAAUGGGGGUGCAACAGAGACCUAAGUAAGUUCCCUUUCUCAUUUGUACUUGUUUCCAUGUCUGCGAAUAGUCGCCUAUUAGUAUUGUUUUUUUUUACACCUGUUUAUUUUUACUAUAUUUAUAAAUUUUGAUUUUGUUACCAAAUUUGUGUACUGUGAAUUUUAUGUUGACUUUUGUUUUCUACUAUUCAUGACUUUUGCCUUAUUUUGCCUAAUUAUACUGUUUACUGGAAUAUUUAUUUAUAUACAUUUAUUUUUUAUAGAUUAUUAUUAUUACAUAUUGUGAUUUAUUCUCCUUUUUUUUUUUGUGUCUCUCCCCCCACCCUUAUGUAUUUCUCUCCUUUGAUCAAGAAAAUGUCCCAUUUAUGUACAAUGUCAAAGUAUUUAUAACACUAGCAUAGCAUCAGAUACACUCCUCAUGGGGAAGUUUCAAUGUUAAAACUAAUUUUUGGAUAGUAAUCAGAGAAAUUGGGGCUUAAUCCUAUUCUGGUGCGGAUUGGCCUGGUAUUGCAAUACCUCUGCGAACAGCCUAAUAUUACUAAUAAAAUUAAAACAAUACAAAAUGCUUUUGUUAAUCAUGAAACAGUGACUAGUUGUAGACUUAAUGCCAUUUUACAAGGUCAUACUUUCUGGUAGACAUCCAACAAUCGUCAAAGCAAAGCAUGUUUUCAUUGUAGCAUUCGGACUCUGCAGCAUUACAGUGUUCCGUGUACCAUCCGAACCCCACUGCUAUUCAUUUUUUUUUCCACAAAGUAAUAUUAUUCACUGUAAUAAGUUCAUAAGCCACAUUUCAAAUAUUUAUUUUAUACGAUAUUCAUAAUUUUUAAUUUUUAUGAUUGAUAGCAAAAUAAUUGAAAGCAACAAUCAUUUACUGUGUGAGAAGAAGCUGAAGAUAAUGAAUACAUCUGUAUAUGUUACAAUGAUAAUAUACUAAUUUGAUACCUAACAAUAAAUUUAAUAAUAUGAUGUGUAUCUAGGGAGAGAGGCUAGGAGCUAGACAUAUUAUUUUUCCAAUUUUUUUUAUAAUUCUAUAGAUCCUGAUAUUACUACAAAACAAUCAGAUUUGUAAACGAUAUAUUAUAAUAAGUACAGUGGUGUCGAAAACCAGCAGUCAACGGUGGCAAUUGCCACCUUUCUUUUAAUGGGUGGGUGGUGGUGGAUCCAUGAUAGGUACCUGAGCUAUAUUUUUUUUCAUCAAAUUAGUAUAUAUUUUAUUUUAUUUUGAUUAUUAAAUAUUAAUUAAGAGUAUUCUAUGGUAGUUUCUUUUGUAAACAAGGGUGGUGGUCUAUACAAAUUUUUAUUUUUCCAUCUCCUUAAAACAUAGUUCAGUGCCACUGAUUAAGUAUACUGUAAUUGUAUUUAUGUUGUAAAAAAAUGUUUGGGUUCCCCCCAGAUCUUUGCUCUGGAUCUGUGCUUACUUGUAUUAUGUAAGUAUACCUAUGUAUUAAAAUAAUAGUAUACCUAUGAUAGCUAUAAAAAUUUGAUUAUAAUAUAAUUUAAAUAAUUUUUUUUUCUGUAGGUACUAGACAAGUGUCUACAAUGAUAAUAUUAUUUUGUGGUCAUAGGUGCAUAAAUGAUUUGAUAGGAGUUAAUAUUUGAAUAAAUUACUAAUCCAUUUACACAUACCAAUUUGUGGAAAAAAUUACUAAUAUUUGAGUAACUACAAUGGAUAUAUACAUACCUGUAUGAAUCAUUAAAUGCAAAAAACUUUAUUACUUAAUAUUGUUAUUUUGUCCAAGAAUAGAAAUGAUUUCUGUUAUCAAUGAGUUGUGAAAGGUUUGACUACACAAGUACCUACCAGGCAUACUAAAUAAAUUUGUAAAUUAUAAGUAUUGAUAAAAACUUGACAAAAAUCAAAUUGCAAAAGAAAAUAAGGACAUAUUUUACUUGCAAAUAAGUACAAAACAAUGGGUUGGUCUAAUUUAUUAAACUGCUGAACUGGGGCCACAGACUACUUUAGCUCAAUAAUAGAUAGUACUGUACUAGUAGUAGAAACUAACAGGCUAUUUAAAUACACUAGAACUUUUCACAUUUACAAAGUUUUAUAACUUUUGGUUAUGUUUCACAGAUUUGGGAACUGCCACCGCAAGUCAUCAAAAUACUGAACUGGAUUAUAAGGAGUGGAAUUUUCAAUGGAAGCAAUUUAUAUGAAAUUACAGAUAGCGCUAAAUUAGUUUGUGGCCCCAGUUUAUCAAAUUAGGCACCCUCAGAACAAUAAACGUAUAAUUAUUAAUUAGUUACUUACACUAUCGUGGUAGAUGCUUAAUAAUUAGGUGUAUGAGUAAUUUAAAUAUAAUAUAGGUGGAUGAAUUCCUAAAUACAGAAGGGGAUGCGUUUAAUUUAAACAAAUACGAGAAAGACAAAAAUGUUUUUGAAAAAAUUGAUAAGUAGGUACUUAAACAACUUUUAUGUUAGGUUAUAAUUAAUAACUUUAAUGCUAUAGUGUUAGAUUUAGUUAUCCAGAAAUUUCUAUAAGUAUUCAUUAUAUAAAAUAAAAACGACAUAGAUAAUUGAGAGAGAAAAGUACUUAGUAAAAUAUAUCAAA